GACGAACGCUGGCGGCGUGCUUAACACAUGCAAGUCGAACGGAAAGGCCCUGCUCUUGUGCCUCGCUCGAGUGGCGAGCGCGUGAGAAACACGUGAGUAACCUGUCCCUGUCUGAGGGGUAACUCCAGGAAACUCGGGCUCAUACCCGAUAGGAGCUCCUGCUGCACGGUGGGGGAUGGUAAGAUUCGGCGGUGGGGGAUGGACUCGCGGCUUAUCAGCUUGUUGGUGGGGUAGUGGCUUACCAAGGCUUCGACGGGUAGCCGGCCUGGGAGGGUGACCGGCCACAUUGGGCCUGCGGUACGGCCCAGACUCGUACGGGCGGCAGCGGUGGGGAAUAUUGCGCAAUGGGGGGACGCCGGUGGCGGCAGCGCCGCGUGCGGAAUGACGGCUUUCGGGUUGAAAACCGCUUUCGCCGGUAACGAGGCGUGAGUGACGGUAAUGGGUAAAGAAGCACCGGCUAACUACGUG
rnacentral:rRNA from 1 species